rnacentral:rRNA from 1 species
AUUGAACGCUGGCGGCAGGCCUAACACAUGCAAGUCGAGCGGUAACACAGGGAGCUUGCUCCUGGGUGACGAGCGGCGGACGGGAGAGUAAUGUCUGGGAAACUGCCUGAUGGAGGGGGAUAACUACUGGAAACGGUAGCUAAUACCGCAUAACGUCGCAAGACCAAAGAGGGGGAGCUUCGGGCCUCUUGCCAUCAGAUGUGCCCAGAUGGGAUUAGCUUGUAGGUGGGGUAACGGCUCACCUAGGCGACGAUCCCUAGCUGGUCUGAGAGGAGUACCAGACACACUGGAACUGAGACACGGUCCAGACUCCUACGGGAGGCAGCAGUGGGGAAUAGUGCACAAUGGGCGCAAGCCUGAUGCAGCCAUGCAGCGUGUAUGAAGAAGGCCUUAGGGUUGUAAAGUACUUUCAGCGGGGAGGAAGGCGUUGAGGUUAAUAACCUCAGCGAUUGACGUUACCCGCAGAAGAAGCACCGGCUAACUCCGUGCCAGCCGCCGCGGUAA